CACGUAGGCACCAAGCGUUGUCCGGAUUUAUUGGGCGUAAAGAGCUCGUAGGCGGUUCAGUAAGUCGGGUGUGAAAACUUUGGGCUUAACCCAAAGCGUGCAUCCGAUACUGCUGUGACUUGAGUUCGGUAGGGGAGUGGGGAAUUCCUAGUGUAGCGGUGAAAUGCGCAGAUAUUAGGAGGAACACCGGUGGCGAAGGCGCCACUCUGGGCCGAAACUGACGCUGAGGAGCGAAAGCGCGGGUAGCAAACAGG
rnacentral:rRNA from 1 species